rnacentral:misc_RNA from 1 species
GGCUGUCACUGCUGUAUUCAUUUUUCAUUUGGCUUGGCAAUUGUAUCCUAUAAGAAUUUGUUAGAUAUGAUUUUAUUUUAUUUUAUUUUUAAUUUUGGAGACUUGCUUUUAUUUACUGCAUAUUUGGGUUCCAGUCAUUUUGCAGAAAUGAUACCUUGCCCAAAAAAAAUCCUUGAAAAUUUUGGUUCCUUGGAGAUCAGGGUAAAAUUUGGUUCUCUAGUUCAUGAAAAACUUGCAUAAUGAUAAAAAAAGGGGAGGAAAGAAAGAAAACCAUCUCUCUUUCUCUGUGUGUGUGUGAAACACAAUGCAUCUAGCUACUCUAUUCUUGUUAGAGCUAUAGGAGAUCAGCUAUAGUAUUAUAUAUUUUACUAUUAUUAUUUAACAGUUUCAUU